AUACGGAGGGUGCGAGCGUUGUUCGGCAUUAUUGGGCGUAAAGAGCAUGUAGGCGGUCUGUUAAGUCUGGUGUGAAAGCCCGGGGCUCAACCCCGGAAGUGCAUUGGAUACUGGCAGACUUGAGUAUGGGAGAGGAAAGCGGAAUUCCGAGUGUAGGAGUGAAAUCCGUAGAUAUUCGGAGGAACACCAGUGGCGAAGGCGGCUUUCUGGACCAAUACUGGCGCUGAGAUGCGAAAGCGUGGGGAGCAAACAGGAUUAGAAACCCGUGUAGUCC
rnacentral:rRNA from 1 species